AUUUGAUUUGAGCAUGUCUGUCUGUGGUCAUUGACUUCACCUUCAUCCCACUUUCAUCAAACUUUGCCAGACAUCUUUUUAAUUCCUCAAGUUCCAUUGCUCCAGAGUUGGUCACUUCAUUGGACUGUUUAACAUAAUUAUAUUCCAAAUCCAUGCAGCUAUAUGACCCAUACUUGGCACAAUAUCCAGGAAAUCACAUCUUCCAUCUCUUCCA